rfam:Octopus bimaculoides Scaffold20929_contig_80, whole genome shotgun sequence.
GCUUACGGCCAUAUCACGUUGAAUGCACCGGUCCUCUUCCGAUCACUGAAGUUAAGCAACGUAGAGCCUAGGUAGUACUUAUAUAGGUGACCGCUUGGGAAACCUAGGUGCUGUAAGCA